ACAACUUUUAACGGUGGAUCUCUUGGCUCGUGCAUCGAUGAAGAACGCAGCAAGCUGCGAUACGUAGUGUGAAUUGCAGAAUUCAGUGAAUCAUCGAAACUUUGAACGC
rnacentral:rRNA from 3 species